UAGGGAAUCUUCGGCAAUGGACGAAAGUCUGACCGAGCAACGCCGCGUGAGUGAAGAAGGUUUUCGGAUCGUAAAACUCUGUUGUUAGAGAAGAACAAGGACGUUAGUAACUGAACGUCCCCUGACGGUAUCUAACCAGAAAGCCACGGCUAACUACGUGCCAGCAGCCGCGGUAAUACGUAGGUGGCAAGCGUUGUCCGGAUUUAUUGGGCGUAAAGCGAGCGCAGGCGGUUUCUUAAGUCUGAUGUGAAAGCCCCCGGCUCAACCGGGGAGGGUCAUUGGAAACUGGGAGACUUGAGUGCAGAAGAGGAGAGUGGAAUUCCAUGUGUAGCGGUGAAAUGCGUAGAUAUAUGGAGGAACACCAGUGGCGAAGGCGGCUCACUGAUCUGUAACUGACGCUGAGGCUCGAAAGCGUGGGGAGCAAACAGG
rnacentral:rRNA from 1 species